rnacentral:misc_RNA from 1 species
GAUGAAUAACGUAGCGAAAUGCGAUAAGUAAUGUGAAUUGCAGAAUUCAGUGAAUCAUCGAAUCUUUGAACGCACAUUGCGCCCAUUAGUAUUCUAGUGGGCAUGCCUGUUCGAGCGUCAUUUCAACCCUCAAGCCUUAGUUGCUUGGUGUUGGGAGCUUAUCUUGCCGAAAGGCGGGACAACUCCUUAAAUUUAUCGGCGGAGUCGCGGUGACCCCAAGCGUAGUAAAUUAUUUUUUCCUCGCUUUAGGUGUUAACGCUGGCUUUUCUAGCCGUUAAACCCCCCCUAAUAUUUUAAUGGUUGACCUCGGAUCAGGUAGGACUACCCGCUGAACUUAAGCAUAUCAAUAAGCGGAGGA